rnacentral:Y_RNA from 1 species
GGUUGGUCCAAGUGCAGUGGUGUUCACAACAAACUCAUCACAACCAGCUGCAGAUUCCUUUGUUCCUUCUCCACUCCCCCUGCUUCACUUGACCAGCCUUAA